CGAAAAGUGCGUAACGUUCUUUACUUAGAGUCGGGGCCCUGCGUGAGGAAGGAGGAGGGGAGGCGUAACGCUAUUCCCCAAAGUCAGGUGCGCAAGGAGCACUCUCCGUAACCCUUUCUGCGGGGCAGGGAAUACCUGUGUCGAGGCGCACGUUACAUGGUGUGUUUCACUGGUCUAUCUUCCCUCUUCAUAUGGCAAAACUUUCAUGGAUGUGAGCAGUAUUAAAAAAUAACAAUUUAUAUGAGUUCUCUACUCAAACACAGUUUAUGGAGGGUGCUGCUCACGCGUCUUCCUCAACGAGGCGCACACGGCGUGUUUGGAUUGGGUGGCCAAAACCUGUCAGGGAGCUGCAGAAGUGACUUGCCUGGAGUCACAGGACAAGAAAAUGAGGCUGAGUCAUACACAUGACUUCAUCUGCCAUUUUAAAAGGAUGGGAAAGGUGCUUUUUAGGAUAUGAACACUUCUGUGAGACAUCUGCAGGCUUCUUGGAGGCAGUAUUUGGAAAGCAGUCGCUCAUUUUAGCUCGCCUCUGGUGGCACAGUUGGUGCGGGACUGCAUGUCAAGGAGACAUCACAUCUCCUGCGAGCAGGAGGAGCUCCUGGCUGCCCCUUGUGUGGGCUGGGAAUGGCAGAAGGGAUCGGAGCAGCCUCUCAGCCUGCUCCGAGGGGCUUGCAAAAAUUUCCCCACCCUCUGCCCGUGGGAGGUUAAGGGCACCUUUCCCAAGCCAUUUCUUAGCCAAGUCAGGAAACCAAGCAACAAAACCUUGUGCCAUCAUCAGCACACCAUGGGAGUGCUCACAGUGUCUCCAUUUGAAACAUCGAGCAAUUUUUAUAAUACCAAAAUCCAAUCCUGGGAGCACAAGGCUUUGUCGAUACAGAGGGAGCGGCUGGCACAGCUUUUGAAAACCGCAUUAUUCUGCAAGAGCUAUUCCAGAAGUGCACUUAGGCAGACAGCGCCUUAAAGGUGAAUUCCUUCACAAAGUAUGCUUUUAUUCCAGAACAGAAUGCAGAGUGUGGCCCUUCUGGUGCUGCUGAGCAGCUCUGCAGCAGAAAAUACCUCACUCUGUAAACUACCUUUCCUUCAUUAUCCUUUUAGUUGUGAAAUGGUUCUCAGAAAGAUCAAUGAAUGCACAGAAUCUUCAGACCAUUUCCCACUCCAAAGAGCUACUUUGGCCAAUAAAUUUCAUUCUACAACUUCAAAA